UCUAAAAUAAUUUAAUAAAAAUAUUAAUUUUGUAAAUUAAAAAUAAGAUAAAUCUUUUUUAGAU
rnacentral:tRNA from 1 species